rfam:Nitrosococcus halophilus Nc4, complete genome.
GGGGGCGACUUGGCUUCGACGCGGGUAGCAAAACCUGAGGAGCAUGCCGAGGUGCGGUGACCUCGUUAAUCACGCUGCAAAAUUAUAGUUGCCAACGACGACAACUACGCACUCGCUGCUUAAAACCCAGUAGGGUGCCGUCUGACUGAAGCCGUGCUUGUGCGUUCAGAUUUCAGGCGUCGACUCUCACAAGAUCGCGGUGAAGCUCUCCCAGGGCGGACCCGUUAAAACCUCACUGGGAUCGCCGUUUGUCUUCCCUGCCCGUCGGGUAGCAGGCGGUUAAAUUAAUGAUUGGGCUAAGCAUGUAGAACCAAAGGCGGAGUGCUUGCGGACGCGGGUUCAAUUCCCGCCGCCUCCACCA